AGUGAACGCUGGCGGUAGGCCUAACACAUGCAAGUCGAACGGCAGCACAGUAAGAGCUUGCUCUUACGGGUGGCGAGUGACGGACGGGUGAGGAAUACAUCGGAAUCUACUUUUUCGUGGGGGAUAACGUAGGGAAACUUACGCUAAUACCGCAUACGACCUACGGGUGAAAGCAGGGGAUCUUCGGACCUUGUGCGAUUGAAUGAGCCGAUGUCGGAUUAGCUAGUUGGCGGGGUAAAGGCCCACCAAGGCGACGAUCCGUAGCUGGUCUGAGAGGAUGAUCAGCCACACUGGAACUGAGACACGGUCCAGACUCCUACGGGAGGCAGCAGUGGGGAAUAUUGGACAAUGGGCGCAAGCCUGAUCCAGCCAUACCGCGUGGGUGAAGAAGGCCUUCGGGUUGUAAAGCCCUUCUGUUGGGAAAGAAAAGCAGCAGGUUAAUACCCCGCUGUUCUGACGGUACCCAAAGAAUAAGCACCGGCUAACUUCGUG
rnacentral:rRNA from 1 species